UUAAUAUCAAGCGGAGCAGCGUCCGUAAUAGAACGAUCGGAGAUGAAUUCGUGUUCGAAAAGAAAACUUGAAGUUGUAUUACCUUCUCUAGUGUAUGGAUCUGAAGUUGAAGAAAGGGUUGAACAGAACAAACCAUCAGUGUGUUUUGGACCGUCGCGUUGCUACAGUGGAUGAUUUGCCUGUGUACCAGUCUACAGCCUGUCAAACUAAGAAAAAUAGUCAAACUUGCUGAAAAAUAUGCAUAGUCGACAUUAGUCGAUACAUACUGCCAAAGAAAAUUUAAUAAAACUUCUUAAGGUAAUUAGUCAUUGUCAAAACUCAACGGUUUCAAUUUUUAAUAUCCCGGAUUGGAAGAUAAUUUUACCAUUACAAGAAUUAAAACCUAUGGAUAAUCAAGAUACAUCAACACCUGCCAUGAUUCCUUAUACAUGGUUUAGUGGCCUAUGUUCGGUACAUUAGAUUAACCAAUUUUUCAUUAAAUCUAACAUAAGCCACCUAAAGAUAUGCUGAAAAGGAAUAAGAAAGAAAAGGAAAGUGCCAUAGAAAAUAGUAGAAAAUUAAUACAAUAGUGUUAAAACAGUUUGAUAUCCACGGGUAUUU